AACACUUUUCCGAUUGUAUGAACGAAAUCCCCACAACAUAAGAGAAACACUUAUACACUUUAAUGAACGGUAAAAGGAAUACUUACAAUUCGUUUUGAAAUUUGUUAUUUCAUGGUUUAUGCUCAUCUAUACAAAGAAUCUUCAAUGGUAUGCAUUACAAUUGUAUAAGAAAUGAAAUACGGCAAAAAAAAUUGAUGUUUUGAAACCCCA
rnacentral:lncRNA from 1 species